UUUCCGUAGGUGAACCUGCGGAAGGAUCAUUAUUGAAACUUCAUCCGGGGCGCCGCGGCCCUCAGCACCGGUGGAAACGCCGUGCUGCGGGGGCCGCGCGUGCACUCGUCCAAACCAAACCCCUGUGAACCUUACGGGAUGGCCCGAGUUAGCGCCCGGUGCCGUUCCGCUUUAUACAAACACUUAUCAAAGAAUGAACUGAAGGCGGUCUGACCGCUGGAUAACAAACUGAAACAACUUUCAACAACGGAUCUCUUGGCUCUC
rnacentral:misc_RNA from 1 species